UGCUAGCGGAGGGCAGUUCGGCUGCCCCGCGAAUAGCUCAGUGACACGUGGUCAAUCUACCCUUAGGACCGAUACAACCCCGGGAAACUGGGGAUAAUAUCGGAUAGGUGGGGAUUCUGGAAUGUUCCUCGCCAAAACGUUCCGACGCCUAAGGAUGAGACUGCGGCCUAUUAGGUAGUUGGUGAGGUAAAGGCUCACCAAGCCACAGAUGGGUACGGGCCCUGAGAGGGGGAGCCCGGAGAUGGGGACUGAGACAAGGCCCCAGGCCCUACGGGGCGCAGCAGGUGCGGAAAUUCUGCAAUGCGUGAAAGCGCGACAGAGUGACUCCCAGUGUCGAUGGUCUACCGACCGUCGGCUUUUCUGGAAUGUAAAAAAUUUCAGGUAAUAAGGACCGGGCAAGACUGGUGCCAGCCGCCGCGGUAACACCAGCGGUCCAAGUGGUAACCGAUUUUAUUGGGCCUAAAGCGUCCGUAGCCGGACUGUCAAGUCCCUUGUGAAAUCGGACGGCUUAACCGUUCGGCUUGCAAGGGAAACUGACGGUCUUGGGACUGGUAGGCGUUGAGGGUACCCCAGGGGUAGCGGUGAAAUGCUAUAAUCCCUGGGGGACCGCCAGUGGCGAAAGCGCUCAGCGAUGCCGGAUCCGACGGUGAGGGACGAAAGCCAGGGGCGCAAACCGGAUUAGAUACCCGGGUAGUCCUGGCUGC
rnacentral:rRNA from 1 species